CCUACGGGUGGCAGCAGUGAGGAAUAUUGGUCAAUGGUCGAGAGUCUGAACCAGCCAAGUAGCGUGAAGGAUGACUGCCCUACGGGUUGUAAACUUCUUUUAUAAGGGAAUAAAGUGUGGCACGCGUGCCCUUUUGUAUGUACCUUAUGAAUAAGGAUCGGCUAACUCCGUGCCAGCAGCCGCGGUAAUACGGAGGAUCCGAGCGUUAUCCGGAUUUAUUGGGUUUAAAGGGAGCGUAGGGGGGUUGUUAAGUCAGUUGUGAAAGGUUGCGGCUCAACCGUAAGAUUGCAGUUGAUACUGGCAGUCUUGAGUACAGUAGAGGUAGGCGGAAUUCGUGGUGUAGCGGUGAAAUGCUUAGAUAUCACGAAGAACUCCGAUGGCGAAGGCAGCUUACUGGACUGCCACUGACACUGAGGCUCGAAAGUGUGGGUAUCAAACAGGAUUAGAUACCCGAGUAGUC
rnacentral:rRNA from 1 species